rnacentral:rRNA from 1 species
UACGUAGGGUGCGAGCGUUAAUCGGAAUUACUGGGCGUAAAGGGUGCGUAGGCGGCCUUAUAAGUCAGUGCUGAAAUAUCCCGGCUUAACCGGGAGGGUGGCAUUGAUACUGUAGGGCUUGAGUAAAGUUGAGGUUGGCGGAAUUGACGGUGUAGCGGUGAAAUGCUUAGAUAUCGUCAAGAACACCGAUAGUGAAGACAGCUAACUAAGCUUUAACUGACGCUGAGGCACGAAAGUGUGGGGAUCAAACAGG